rnacentral:rRNA from 1 species
CUACGGGAGGCAGCAGUGAGGGAUAUUGCACAAUGGGCGCAAGCCUGAUGCAGCGACGCCGCGUGAGUGAUGAAGGCCUUCGGGUCGUAAAACUCUUUUCUGUGUGACGAGCAAGGACGGUAGCACAGGAAUAAGUCUCGGCUAACUACGUGCCAGCAGCCGCGGUAAAACGUAGGAGACAAACGUUAUCCGGAGUUACUGGGCGUAAAGGGCGUGCAGGCGGCAGCCUAAGUCUGGCGUGAAAUAUCCCGGCUUAACCGGGAGAGGUCGUCGGAUACUGGGCAGCUAGAGGGCGGUAGAGGCGUGUGGAAUUCCGGGUGUAGUGGUGAAAUGCGUAGAGAUCCGGAGGAACACCAGUGGCGAAGGCGACUCGCUGGGCCGCACCUGACGCUAAGACGCGACAGCAUGGGGAGCGAACGGGAUUAGAUACCCUAGUAGUCC